rnacentral:rRNA from 1 species
AUGGCGCUGAGCCACCUCCGCCAUGCGCCGCUCGCGCUCCGCCUCGCGCUCCCAUCCAUCGCCUGCUCCUCUCCCGCCACCCGCCGCCUCUUACUCUUUGCGCCGGCGCGCCCGUGGCGCCUCCUCUCCACCGCCUCGAAGCCGCGCUCGCUCGCCACCGCAGCCGCCGCCGAGGCCGACAGCACCAGCGCGGGCGCCGACGGCUUCUUCGCCGAGGACAGCACGUCCUGGAAGUCCCUCGGCAUCUCCGACCGCCUCGCGUCCGCCUUGCACGGCACUGGGCUCGAGAGGCCCUCGCUGGUCCAGGCAGCUUGUAUACCACAUGUUCUUACGGCGAACGAUGUAAUUGUUGCGGCAGAGACUGGCAGUGGCAAAACACAUGGUUACCUGGUUCCACUGAUUGAAAAACUGUGCACCAAAUCUUCCUCCACAGAAGAUGGUGAUUCUGAAAACAUUGCUGCGAGAACAGAUAACAUUGUGCUGGUUUUCUGUCCUAAUGUCAUGCUGUGUGAGCAAGUUGUUUCAAUGGCUAAUUCAUUACUUGAUGUAUCUGGUGAACCACUUAAGCGUGCUGCUGCAGUUUGUGGGCCAAAGGGUUGGCCAGCAGUUCGCCCAGAUAUUCUUGUAGCCACUCCAGCCGCUCUUUUGAAUUAUCUAUUCGAUUAUGACCCAGAGAGGAGGCGGAGGGAGAAGUUCCUACGCAGUGUAAAAUACAUCGUAUUUGAUGAGGCAGACAUGCUACUUUGCGGAAGUUUUGAAAAUCAGAUCAUUCGUCUCAUCCACAUGCUGCGGUUUGACGAGAAGUUACUUUCAAGGGCGGAAGAUUCUGGAAAAGAAGUACCGCUCGAAGGUUCUGAUGAAUAUCAUGAGGAUUCUGGUUCUGAGAGUGCUGAAGUUAGUGAUAUUGAUGAUGAAAAUGAAGAUGGUCAUAUUCAAGAUGGAGCAGUCAAGGCGAAGAAUGCUCAUGUAGGAGCACGCAGGGAUUGGAGAAGGGUUAGAAAAGUUUAUAGGCGCAGCAAGCAAUAUGUCUUUGUUGCUGCCACCCUCCCUCAGAGUGGAAAAAAGACUGCUGGUGGUGUGCUGAAACGUAUGUUUCCUAGUGCUGUGUGGGUUAGUGGUGCUUAUCUGCACUGUCACAACCCUAGACUGGAGAGAAGAUGGAUAGAGGUUACUACUGAUACACAAGUCGAUGCUCUUCUGGAUGCAGUAAAGUAUGGCCUGAAGAGUGAAGUUGACCCAGAACUUGGUCCAAAUCGAACUAUGGUGUUCACGAACACUGUCGACGCUGCUAAUUCAGUCUCUGACAUAUUGCGGAGAGUUGGUAUUCCAUGCAUCUUGUACCACCGUGAGAGCUCCCUGGAGGAAAGGACAGCCAAUUUACAAUCUUUCCGGGAGAAUGGUGGUGUGCUCGUCUGUACUGAUGCUGCCGCUCGUGGACUUGAUGUGCCAAAUGUUUCCCAUGUUAUUCAGGCGGAGUUUGCUGCUUGCGCUGUCGACUUUUUGCACAGGGUGGGUCGCACAGCUAGAGCUGGCCAAUCUGGAAUAGUGACUAGCCUAUAUACAGAUGCAAACCGUGAUCUCGUGAGAGCAGUUCGUCAAGCAGAGGAGCUGGCCCAGCCAGUGGAGAGGGCGUUCAGUAGAAAAAGAAGUUUCCGCAACAAGUUGAAGAAACAAGCUCGACUGCUUGAACCUGCAACGUUGCUGUCUUAA